UACGUAGGGUGCGAGCGUUAAUCGGAAUUACUGGGCGUAAAGCGUGCGUAGACGGUUAUCUAAGUCGGAUGUGAAAGCCCCGGGCUCAACCUGGGAAUUGCAUUCGAGACUGAAUAGCUAGGGUGCGGUAGAGGGAAGCGGAAUUUCCGGUGUAGCGGUGAAAUGCGUAGAUAUCGGAGGGAACAUCAGUGGCGAAAGCGGCUUCCUGGACCAGCACCGACGUUCAGGCACGAAAGCGUGGGGAGCAAACAGG
rnacentral:rRNA from 1 species